AAGGCUUUCAGCAGAACCACCAUGACCGCCACCUUCGUCGAUAAAAUCAAUCUGUCUUCAAUGGGGAUGGAGAAGAGGAAAAGGACAGGAGAGGACGGAGGCGAUGUGUGCGACGCAGAGGCAGACCGAAAAGGGGAGGAAGAGCACUAGGCGGUGACUGACGAAGAGGUGGUGGAGUUCUUCACCAUCCUUCGGCGUCUGCAUGCGGCGUCCAAGAGCCUCACCGGAAGAGGAAGCCACGGAGACAAGAAGAAGAAGAAGAAGAGGGAGGAGGAGGAAGCCAAGUAGAAGGUGAAGAGAGAGGAGGAGGAAGCCAAGUAGGCGACGAGGUGGCCUCCGCCGUUCACUUUGGAGGACUUCGAUGCCGUCGGAGAGGGCAGUGUCAGCUCCGACGGAGUGGGAAAUGAUGGUAGGAGGGUGGCGGAGGAAUCGAUCCAUUGUGAUUUUCUCCGAUUUUGUUAAUUUUAUUUCUUAAAAUUAAGAAAUAAAAGACUGUUGAGAAAAAAAUUACAUGCAAAUCAAUGAUUGUACAAUUAUUGAUGAACUUGUAAUUUGUUUCCGACUUCUUUGGAACAUCUCGUGAAACAUUCUCUUCAUUUCCAAAGCUGUGAUUACUGUCUUUUAAUUAUUGAAGAUUCAAUCAAAA
rnacentral:lncRNA from 1 species